GACGAACGCUGGCGGCGUGCUUAACACAUGCAAGUCGAACGGAAAGGCCCUUUUCGGGGGGUACGCGCGUGGCGAACGGGGGAGUAACACGCGAGUAUCCCGUGCCCUACUCUUUGAUAACUCUACGAAACACGGGCUAAUAUCGGAUAUGAGCUCCUCCUGUACGGCGGGGGGGGGGAAGAUUCGGCGGUUGGGGAUGGACUCGCGGCUUAUCAGCUUGUUGGUGGGGUAGUGGCUUACCAAGGCUUUGACGGGUAGCCGGCCUGAGAGGGUGACCGGCCACAUUGGGACUGAGAUACGGCCCAGACUCCUACGGGAGGCAGCAGUGGGGAAUAUUGCACAAUGGGCGGAAGCCUGAUGCAGCAACGCCGCGUGCGGGAUGACGGCCUUCGGGUUGUAAACCGCUUUCGCCUGUGACGAAGCGUGAGUGACGGUAAUGGGUAAAGAAGCACCGGCUAACUACGUG
rnacentral:rRNA from 1 species